CAACGAAUAUUCCGCAAUGGACGAAAGUCUGACGGAGCGACGCCGCGUGGAGGAUGAAGUCCCUCGGGAUGUAAACUCCUGUCAGGGGUUAGGAAAUUUGACCAGCCCCAGAGGAAGCCACGGCUAACUCUGUGCCAGCAGCCGCGGUAAUACGGAGGUGGCGAGCGUUGUUCGGAAUUAUUGGGCUCAAAGCGCGUGUAGGCGGGACGGACAGUGUCGGGUGAAAGCCCUUGGCUCAACCAAGGAAUGGCUUGGCAUACUACCGUUCUUGAGGUAGGUAGAGGUCGCUAGAACGACGGGUGGAGCGGUGAAAUGCGUAGAUAUCCGUUGGAAUGCCGGUGGCGAAAGCGGGCGACUGGACCUAUCCUGACGCUGAGACGCGAAAGCGUGGGGAGCAAACAGGAUUAGAUACCCACGUAGUCCCUGAGCGGGCUGGCAAGGCGCAU
rnacentral:rRNA from 1 species